GGAACCUGCUGCACAGAGAGGAACAACGUGUCAGAAGUCAGAUGUCUAAAAGAAAAAAACUAAAUAAUAUUUAGACCAGAGAAAAGUACUUAAGGAGACUCUAAAUCAUUCAUCUGUUGAAAAAGGUGGCGAGCUCAUUUUUGGGAGGCGAAAUGCUGUUAAAACUAAGGAGGAUGCCAGGAAACUUUUUGUGGAGUUUCACUGCACCCCAGUGGGUGGACACUCCUCAAAACCAGGAACUCCAUGUCCUCCAGAUUUUACUGGAAAGGCAUGAGUAACGACAUUGAUAACCGAAAACUACUUGAAGAUGGCAGGCUCCAAACACAAAUGCCACACUAUAAACAGGUGGACGCAUGGAGCGUUGGCAUUUUGGUGUUGAUGUUUGCAGAAUAAUAGAUGAAACAUGUCAAUGUUUCCAACAUUGACACAUCACCAUGAGUUGGCCAGGACCGGUUUGACAUGGCUUGUGCCCUACUUCAAUUCACAGGGAAUGUUGAAGAUUGUGCCGAUAAGAGCAGGAUAGAAAUGGUGCAGUGUAAGUCAUGCUCAAAGUGGGUACGUUUUGAAUGUGCCCAAUACAAAAGUGGAACUGAAACAAAACAUUUGUGGCCAAAAUGUAUACUGUUUAAUAAUAAUUAAAUAUUUAUUACAAUACAGUCUUA